GACGAAACGCUGGCGACGUGCCUAAUGCAUGCAAGUCGUACGCGGGGUGCUUGCACCGCCGCGUGGCGCACGGCUGAGGAACACGUGGGUAUCAACCCCGGAGUGGGGGAUACCUCGUCGAAAGUACGAGACAAUCCCGCAUACGGUCUCGCAAGAGAAGAAAGCGGCAACGCGCUACUGGGACGAGCCUGCGGCCCAAUCAGGUAGUUGGUAGGGUAACGGCCUACCAAGCCAUUGACGGGUCCCUGGUCUGAGAGGACGACCAGGCAGACUGGGACUGAGACACGGCCCAGACUCCUACGGGAGGCAGCAGCAAGGAAUUUUCCCCAAUGGCCGAAAGGCUGACGGGAGCAACGUCGCGUGCAGGACGAC
rnacentral:rRNA from 1 species